UUUUUAUGGAGAGUUUGAUCCUGGCUCAGGAUGAACGCUGGCGGCGUGCCUAAUACAUGCAAGUCGAGCGAACAGACGAGGAGCUUGCUCCUCUGACG
rnacentral:rRNA from 1 species